CUUAAACGCUCCGUUGAGAAUUCUCUGAGGGAUGCAAAGCUAUCUUUCAUCGUGAAGUCGUCAAUAGCUUAACCUGAAAAGAGACAAACUCUACAGUCAAUCCAUAUGAAGUUAUUGCCUUUGGAGCUGCAGUUCAGAUCGUGUUCUCAUUUGGACUCAUUCAUCAAUACAAUGUCACUGGUCCACUGACAGAAGAUGAAAUCGAGAGAUGGCGCCCAAAGGUCAUGGGUUGAAGCCGAUCGAUCUUACCUUUCAAUACCUCAAUAAGUUCUUUCCUACUAUUGAUGAUGCUGAAGGAAAAUGCAUUGUAGUUCAAUAUUCGGACGAGAAAGAUUGGCUUUCGAUCUCAGAACCCGGCCAAAUAAUACCAGCAAGAUGUACUUCCUGGAAAGUUUUGAGCCUUAUGUUCGAUCAAUGAAGUUGGCUGAAGGCUGAAGAUUGGCUUUGAAUUUUGAGCCUUAAGAUUAGGGUUUCGAAAUCUCUACUAAUGAAAUCUGCAACUAAGCUGGAUUCAAGUGUAGUUGAAUUGGACUUUAUGGGGAGAUGGUAUUGUGCUGAUUAAAGACCAAGAGUAAGAAAACUCAAGUGAAGGUUACAAAAGAUGACGAUGAAGAUGGGCCUUUGAAUGAAAAUGAUGAUGAUGUGGACCAAGGCAAGAAACUAAAUACUCAGCAUUUGGUUCUUACUCAACUUUACGAGGUGGUAGUAUAAUUUUCCAGCAAGUGGCAAGGUUGAUGAUUUUGAUGAUGUCACAGAAACUACUGCUGAUGUAGGGGCGAACAAUUUGUCUAAUAAGGUGGUAGUAUAAUUUUCCAGCAAGUGGCAAGGUUGAUGAUUUUGAUGAUGUCACAGAAACUACUGCUGAUGUAGGGGCGAACAAUUUGUCUAAUAAGGGAGGAAUCAGAAGGCAAACGCAGGGGCAUUUUUGGAUAUGUCGAUGAAGAUGAUGCAUGGUGACAACAGGUCAAGUGUCUUCGUUGCCAAGGGUUAUUUUUUUAAAAGCUUGAAUGAGCUGGUCUGGUCCAUCAACAUACAUUUGAUUAUAUGGUUCAACAACUUCAUUCAUUAUACACGUUGUAAAAAGUCUAUCUAAUAAAUAAAAAUCCAGCUUCCAGUGACUGAAUUUGAAAAGUACUCUUUCUGCCGUUUUCCAGUGUUCUAAGAUAACAGAAGGCAGUGGAGCAUUGGUGGCGUAUGCCCUGGGAAGGAAAUGACAGGAAUGUGCGUAACUUCUCGAAUGUUACAUAUGUUCAUGAAAAAUGUACGGAUUGAUGUAUGGAACUAGAGGAACAAGAUGGAACCUUAAUGGAUUACUCAUCACAACAUGUAUUUCGAACAACUGCGAUGUAUGGCGUUGGAGGAACGAGAUGGAACCUGGAUACUUUGUGAAAAGUAUUAGGCAGGAAAUAUGAGGACAAAUUGACUUGAAUGUACUGGCAAGUGUUUUUUCUUGGAACAAGAUAGCAAUACCAAAGGUGAAUUUAAUUGUUUGGAAGGCACUGGAAGGUAGGAUCCCUAUAGUAGAUUCCGUGAGGAGUAGAGGGUUACCGAUACGCGAUACAGGCUGCAAACUAUGUGGGCCGCUUGAAGAAUACGUUGCACAUGUGUUAAUACAUUGCUCGGUUACGGAUUGUAUAUGGCAGCAGGAAAAUCCCAGGUGUAUGAAGGAUGCAUUCAGUGUCAGAAACCCUUAAUGUGAUCAAAGAAUCUGGUUUCAAAGGGAGGAAGAAAAAGAUCAUGAAGCAAUUCGUUUUUUAACCAUGUGUACACUUCGGCAGAAUCGAAAUAAUAAAGUUUUUAAUGAUGUGAGAAAGACGAUGCAUAAGCUACUUGAUGAUAUAAAGGAGUCGUAUAACUUGGUCGUACACAGUGCAAAGAUGGAAGGGGUAGCUUCCAUCUGUGUAAUUGCUUGCUUUGUAAUAUGUAUUUUGGUCCUAUUUUUUAUCUGAUGUAAACCUGGUGUAACAAGAUGCCUUUAAUACCUUACUAUAGGAAUAUCUUGGUUUAGAUUUAGUGGAAUAAAAAGGUAACACUUAGCAGUUAAAAAAAAUUACAAACCUUAGUAG